CCUACGGGUGGCAGCAGUGAGGAAUAUUGGUCAAUGGGCGCGAGCCUGAACCAGCCAAGUAGCGUGAAGGAUGACUGCCCUACGGGUUGUAAACUUCUUUUAUAAAGGAAUAAAGUGAGGCACGUGUGCCUUUUUGUAUGUACUUUAUGAAUAAGGAUAGGCUAACCCCGUGCCAGCAGCCGCGGUGAUACGGAGGAGUCGUGCGUUAAUCGGAUUUAGUGGGUUUAAAGGGAGUGUAGAGGGGUUGUCAAGUCAGGUGUGAAAGUUUGCGGCUCAACCGUACAAUUGCAAUUGAUACUGGCAGCCUUGAGUACAGUAGAGGUAGGCGGAAUUCGUGGUGUAGCGGUGAAAUGCUUAGAUAUCACGAAGAACUCCGAUUGCGAAGGCAGCUUACUAAACUGCCACUGACAUUGAUGCUCGAAAGUGUGGGUAUCAAACAGGAUUAGAUACCCGGGUAGUC
rnacentral:rRNA from 1 species